AACGAACGCUGGCGGCAUGCCUAACACAUGCAAGUCGAACGAGACCUUCGGGUCUAGUGGCGCACGGGUGCGUAACGCGUGGGAACCUGCCCUUAGGUUCGGAAUAACUCCCCGAAAGGGGUGCUAAUACCGGAUAAUGUCUUCGGACCAAAGAUUUAUCGCCUUUGGAUGGGCCCGCGUUGGAUUAGCUAGUUGGUAGGGUAAAAGCCUACCAAGGCGACGAUCCAUAGCUGGUCUGAGAGGAUGAUCAGCCACACUGGGACUGAGACACGGCCCAGACUCCUAAGGGAGGCAGCAGUGGGGAAUAUUGGACCAUGGGCGAGAGCAUGAUCCAGCAAUGCCGCGUGAGUGAUGAAGGCCUUAGGGUUGUAAAGCUCUUUUACCCGGGAUGAUAACGACAGCACCGGGAGAAUGCGCGCCGGCUACCUCCGUG
rnacentral:rRNA from 1 species